ensembl:lncRNA
AGGGGCGGCUGUUCCCUGUGGCAGGGCUAUGGCGGAGCCAAAAUCUGCAGAGAGCCUCUUCCACAAGAAGAAAGGCAGAAAACGUCAGCUUUAACCCCCAAAGUGUGUUCUGGGGGUUUUGUGGGGUCCUGUGUGCUGAGCUCCUCUGGCAGCUCAGGUUGGGCUGAGCACCCCGGGCAAGCUUUGCAGCAUCUCCCUUUCCUUUCCUCAUUCCAUGAAUAUCUAACCCUGGCCUGUCCCUUCCUCCACCCCAGCUGGAGAGUGAGAUCCAGCGCAUCUCGGAGGAUUAUGAAAACCUCGUGAAGGCGUCUUCCAAGCGGGAAGCCUUGGAAAAAGCCAUGAGGAACAAGAGAGACAGCGAGAUGCGGCGGCUCCAGGACUUCAACCGGGACCUGAAAGGUGAGGGACCCUCCAUGUCCCCAUCCCUGUGGGCUCUCUGUGUCCCAUGGGUGUUUCCAUGGGAAACCCAGCUUUUUGUAGUUCCUCCGGCCAAAUUCUUGUAUUUAAAUCUUAAUUGGGUUUAAUUGUUUUGGACCAGAGCGGUUGGAAUCGGCGAACAAGCAGCUGGCCAGCAAGGCCCAGGAAAGCCAGGAGAGCAACCAGGGCAGUGUGGCCAAACUCCUGGCACAGAGCUACGAGCACCAGCAGGAGAAGGAGAAGCUGGAGCGGGAGGUGUCCCUGCUGCGCAGUGCCAACGAGGACCAGCGGCGGCGGGCAGAGCUGCUGGAGCAGGCGCUGGGCAGUGCCCAGGCGCGGGCGGCCAAGGCCGAGGCCGAGCUCCGGAAGAAACGAGCCUAUGUGGAGAAGGUGGAGCGGCUGCAGGCAGCCCUGGGCCGCUCCAGGCUGCCUGUGAGAAGCGGGAGCAGCUGGAGCUGCGGCUCCGCACCCGCCUGGAGCAGGAGCUGAAGAUGCUGCGGGCUCAGCAGGUGGGUGCUGGUGACCUACGGUGGGUGCCAGCGAGGCAAGGGCGGGUGCUGCGUCCUCCCAGCACCUCCUCACCCUCAUUUUGGGCUGUUUUUUGGGCUGCUGCAGAGGCAGGCAGGCGCUUCAGGUGGGGGGACGCCGGAGCUGAGCGCCCACAUGCUGUCAGAGCAGCUGAGGGAGAAGGAGGAGAAGAUCCUGGCGCUGGAGGCCGACAUGACCAAGUGGGAGCAGAAGUACCUGGAGGAGUGCACCAUGAGGCAGUUUGCCAUGGACGCCGCGGCCACGGCGGCCGCCCAGCGGGACACCACCCUCAUCAGCCACUCCCCGCGGCAUUCCCCCAACAGCAGCUUCAACGAGGACCUUCUCCUGGCCAGCCACAAGCACCAGGAGAUGGAGAACAGGUUAAAAGCCCUCCAUGCCCAAAUUCUGGAGAAGGAUGCUGUUAUCAAGGUCCUGCAGCAGCGCUCGCGGAGGGACCCCAGCAAAGCCCUGCAGGGCUCCCUGCGGCCGGCCAAAUCCGUGCCCUCCAUCUUCGCCGCCUCGGCCACCCCGAGCUGGCCGGGGGCUGGCCAGAGUGACCGCUCCGCUGAGGGCAGCUCCCGGGGCAGCACAGGUAAAUAUGGACACCUGCCUGCCAGCAGUUCCCCCUGCGGUUUUGGAAUCGUAGAGCUUGGGGAGGGGGGAUUUCUCCAGGAGCAGCCAGAGGAGCCAGCAAUUGUAGAAUUGUAGAAUCAUGGAAUGAUUUGGGUUGGAAGGGACCUUAAAGCUCAUCUCGUUCCACCCCUCUGCCAUGAGUAGGGACACUUUCCACUAGACCAGGUUGCUCCAAGCCCUGUCCAACCUGGCCUUGGACACUUGAAUCCCUUGCCUUGAAUCCCUAACGGUGUCUCCUCCAGCAGGCAAAGCCAGUGCCGAAGGAGCGGGAGCUCCUGCUACCCUUCCCUUGCCCUCCCACUCCAAGCAUGGCAGCAAGGAUGGCAGCACACAGACAGACGGGGCUGGGAGCAGCGGGCAGGGCGAGGGCACCGGAGUGCUGGGUAAGUCUCCCUGGAUGACAUGAGAUGGGGACUUGGGAUGCUCCAGCACAGGGCUUAGAGUUCCCAA